rnacentral:miRNA from 1 species
UAAUACUGCCUGGAAGUGAUGAU